CAGUCGAACGAGAAUCUACUGAAGGAGGAUUCGUCCAACGGAAGUAGAGGAAAGUGGCGGACGGGUGAGUAACGCGUGAGGAACCUGCCUUGAAGAGGGGGACAACAGUUGGAAACGACUGCUAAUACCGCAUGAUGCAUAGGGGUCGCAUGAUCUUUAUGCCAAAGAUUUAUCGCUUCAAGAUGGCCUCGCGUCUGAUUAGCUGGUUGGCGGGGUAACGGCCCACCAAGGCGACGAUCAGUAGCCGGACUGAGAGGUUGAACGGCCACAUUGGGACUGAGAUACGGCCCAGACUCCUACGGGAGGCAGCAGUGGGGAAUAUUGGGCAAUGGGCGCAAGCCUGACCCAGCAACGCCGCGUGAAGGAAGAAGGCUUUCGGGUUGUAAACUUCUUUUAAGAGGGAAGAGCAGAAGACGGUACCUCUAGAAUAAGCCACGGCUAACUACGUGCCAGCAGCCGCGGUAAUACGUAGGUGGCAAGCGUUGUCCGGAUUUACUGGGUGUAAAGGGCGUGCAGCCGGGUCUGCAAGUCAGAUGUGAAAUCCAUGGGCUCAACCCAUGAACUGCAUUUGAAACUGUAGAUCUUGAGUGUCGGAGGGGCAAUCGGAAUUCCUAGUGUAGCGGUGAAAUGCGUAGAUAUUAGGAGGAACACCAGUGGCGAAGGCGGAUUGCUGGACGAUAACUGACGGUGAGGCGCGAAAGUGUGGGGAGCAAACAGGAUUAGAUACCCUGGUAGUCCACACUGUAAACGAUGAAUACUAGGUGUGCGGGGACUGACCCCCUGCGUGCCGCAGUAAACACAAUAAGUAUUCCACCUGGGGAGUACGAUCGCAAGGUUGAAACUCAAAGGAAUUGACGGGGGCCCGCACA
rnacentral:rRNA from 1 species